CUCGUCAACGUAACCUUACUUAAUUUAUCGUCAAGUAGUCCCUAACCUCAAUUAAUUGACGUUAACUGCGUUCAAUUUACUGGUUUUUACAUGAAAAUUAUUUUUUCAAUGUUCCAAGGUUCCAAGGUUAUUUGAGCUAUCAAAUCGUUAU